ACUCUAGAGAUAGAGCUUUCCCCUUCGGGGGACAAAGUGACAGGUGGUGCAUGGUUGUCGUCAGCUCGUGUCGUGAGAUGUUGGGUUAAGUCCCGCAACGAGCGCAACCCUUAAGCUUAGUUGCCAUCAUUAAGUUGGGCACUCUAGGUUGACUGCCGGUGACAAACCGGAGGAAAGUGGGGAUGACGUCAAAUCACCAUGCCCCUUAUGAUUUGGGCUACACACGUGCUACAAUGGACAAUACAAAGGGCAGCUAAACCGCGAGGUCAUGCAAAUCCCAUAAAGUUGUUCUCAGUUCGGAUUGUAGUCUGCAACUCGACUACAUGAAGCUGGAAUCGCUAGUAAUCGUAGAUCAGCAUGCUACGGUGAAUACGUUCCCGGGUCUUGUACACACCGCCCGUCACACCACGAGAGUUUGUAACACCCGAAGCCGGUGGAGUAACCAUUUAUGGAGCUAGCCGUCGAAGGUGGGACAAAUGAUUGGGGUGAAGUCGUAACAAGGUAGCCGUAUCGGAAGGUGCGGCUGGAUCACCUC
rnacentral:rRNA from 1 species